AACGAACGCUGGCGGCAGGCCUAACACAUGCAAGUCGAACGCCCCGCAAGGGGAGUGGCAGACGGGUGAGUAACACGUGGGAACGUACCCUUCGGUUCGGGAUAACUCAGGGAAACUUGAGCUAAUACCGGAUACGUCCGAGAGGAGAAAGAUUUAUCGCCGAGGGAUCGGCCCGCGUCUGAUUAGCUUGUUGGUGAGGUAACGGCUCACCAAGGCGACGAUCAGUAGCUGGUCUGAGAGGAUGAUCAGCCACAUUGGGACUGAGACACGGCCCAAACUCCUACGGGAGGCAGCAGUGGGGAAUAUUGGACAAUGGGCGCAAGCCUGAUCCAGCCAUGCCGCGUGAGUGAUGAAGGCCCUAGGGUU
rnacentral:rRNA from 1 species